GAUGAACGCUGGCGGCGUGCCUAAUACAUGCAAGUCGAGCGAACAGACGAGGCGCUUGCUGCUCUGACGUUUGGGGCGGACGGGUGAGAAACGCGUGGAUAACCCCCCUAUAAGACUGGGAUAAUUUCGGGAAACCGGAGAAAAUCCCGGAUAAUCUCUUGAAGCGCAUGGUUCAAUGGUGAAAGACGGUUUUGCUGUCAGUUAUAGAUGGAUCUGCGCGGAAUUAGCUAGUUGGUAAGGUAACGGCUUAUCAAGGCGACGAUGCGUAGCCGACGUGUUAGAGUGGUCGACCGCACGAGAGCGUAGACAGGUUCCAUGGUCCUGCGAGACGGAGCAGUAUGGUAUCUUCCGCAAUAGGCGGGAAUCUGACGGAGCGGCGCCGCGUGAGUUAUAAAGGUCUUCGGAUCGUAAAGCUCUGUUAUGGGUUGAGAACAGAUGUGGAAGUAACUGAACACGUCGUGACGGUACCUAGUCAGAAAGCCACGGCUAACUACGUG
rnacentral:rRNA from 1 species